GAUGAACGCUGGCGGCGUGCCUAAUACAUGCAAGUCGAGCGAACAGACGAGGAGCUUGCUCCUCUGACGUUAGCGGCGGACGGGUGAGUAACACGUGGAUAACCUACCUAUAAGACUGGGAUAACUUCGGGAAACCGGAGCUAAUACCGGAUAAUAUAUUGAACCGCAUGGUUCAAUAGUGAAAGACGGUUUUGCUGUCACUUAUAGAUGGAUCCGCGCCGCAUUAGCUAGUUGGUAAGGUAACGGCUUACCAAGGCAACGAUGCGUAGCCGACCUGAGAGGAUGAUCGGCCACCCUGGAACUGAGACACGGUCCAGACUCCUACGGGAGGCAGCAGUAGGGAAUCUUCCGCAAUGGGCGAAAGCCUGACGGAGCAACGCCGCGUGAGUGAUGAAGGUCUUCGGAUCGUAAAGCUCUGUUAUUAGGGAAGAACAAAUGUGUAAGUAACUAUGCACGUCUUGACGGUACCUAAUCAGAAAGCCACGGCUAACUACGUG
rnacentral:rRNA from 1 species